rnacentral:lncRNA from 1 species
UGGGCUCAUAUCUAUCGUUUAUGUUAUCUCGUAUUUCGGACUUUCGGUUUAUGUCGUACUUCGAAAUAUUUUAUCGCUUUUUUGGGCCUUUGGGCUCCUAUCUAUCGUUUAUGUUAUCCCGUAUUUUGGACUUUCGGUUUAUGUCGUACUUUAUAUUUCGAAUGUUAUCGUUAUUUGGCCUUUAGGCCUUAUGGUAUCGUACUGACUUUUAUAUUUAUAAAUGGAAAUUUCAUAAACUAUUAAUUAUCGAAUUGUUUUUAUUAUUUCGAAAGUGACGGGUUUCACAGUAUUCUUUCUAGAGUUUGAAUUGAGUGUGGUUUAUGACGACUGCUU